ACUCCUACGGGAGGCAGCAGUGGGGAAUAUUGCACAAUGGGCGCAAGCCUGAUGCAGCCAUGCCGCGUGUAUGAAGAAGGCCUUCGGGUUGUAAAGUACUUUCAGCAGUGAGGAAGGUGGGUAUGUUAAUAGCAUACUCAUUUGACGUUAGCUGCAGAAGAAGCACCGGCUAACUCCGUGCCAGCAGCCGCGGUAAUACGGAGGGUGCGAGCGUUAAUCGGAAUUACUGGGCGUAAAGCGCAUGCAGGUGGUUUGUUAAGUACAGAUGUUGAAAGCCCGGGGCUCAACCUCGGAAUUGCAUUUGAAACUGGCAAACUAGAGUACUGUAGAGGGGGGUAGAAUUUCAGGUGUAGCGGUGAAAUGCGUAGAGAUCUGAAGGAAUACCGGUGCGAAGGCGGCCCCCUGGACAGAUACUGACACUCAGAUGCGAAAGCGUGGGGAGCAAACAGGAUUAGAUACCCUGGUAGGCUCU
rnacentral:rRNA from 1 species